UACGGAGGGUGCAAGCGUUAUCCGGAUUUACUGGGUUUAAAGGGUGCGUAGGCGGGAAUUUAAGUCAGUGGUGAAAGCUCGUUGCUUAACAACGGAAUUGCCAUUGAAACUGAAUUUCUUGAGAUAAGUUGAGGUUGGCGGAAUGUGACAUGUAGCGGUGAAAUGCUUAGAUAUGUCAUAGAACACCGAUUGCGAAGGCAGCUGACUGGACUUUAUCUGACGCUGAGGCACGAAAGCGUGGGGAUCAAACAGG
rnacentral:rRNA from 1 species